rnacentral:lncRNA from 1 species
ACAGGUGUACUGAGGGUACAGCAGAGAAGUUCUGUAGACAUGUGUUCUAGGGGAGUCUCAUUGAUCUCAUAGCAAUGCCUCAGAUGUUCAAUCUCAGGAACACAGACUCUUCCAUGUGGCUGCAGUGGUUUUAGACACCUCUCCUGUUAUUUGAUUGGCUGGUAAGCCAUCUUAGUUCCCUCUCGGUAAAUAAGAGAGGAGCUCAGAAUAGUCCUUUCUAUUUCUUUUUUCAUUUCUCUUCCCACGAUGUAUAGCCGAAGCUAUCUUUACUCAGUCUCUUUUAUUCUGCAAAUCUUCAUCCAUUCCAAGAUGUAAAAAAAAAAAAUCUUUCCAUUCAGUUCAGUUAAGGGGCAGAUUCCAAAAUAGCUGUUGUUUGCGUAACAAAUUUUUACUUGCAUUAUAUCACUGGUUCAAUAAGCCUUUUAAAAUACAUGGUGCUAUUCUUUUCUCUCCAUGAAGGUGACUGAGACUUAAGGUCUACUUACUUGUCCUGAAUCCCAUAAGAACAUAUAUUGGGAGUGAAGGCUCUUUGGUAUAAGUCCUCUCCUGAACUUUCCCACUAUACCACACACUCGCUGCAAAUGUAUUUUCUUAGCACAUAAAUAGAAUGAAAUGAAUAAAUAGAGUGAAAACAGAUGAGCAGAGUGUUUUUAUAAUAACACAGUGUGCUGUUUUCAUCUGGAAGACAUUUGAAUGUGAGGCCAGGAAGUUCUUGCCAACCCUGAUAGCUGUCAUGUCAUGUCUGUUCUCUGUACAUUGUAGCCGAUGUACUUAGUUGGGUCCUACCUGCAUGCUGUCUUGUAUGUCAGAACAACCAUUUUGGAACAAAUGUCCCUAAUUCUGUAGUCCUGAUGUCCCACCAAAGUUGUCAAGGUGUCUUAGUUAGGGUUUUAUGGCUAUGAAGAAACACCAUGCCAACUCUUAUGUAAGAAGAUAUUUAAUUUGAGGCUGGCUUAUAUUUUCUGAGGUUUAGUUCAUUAUCGUCAUGCAAGAAGCAUGGUGCCAUACAGGCAGACAUGGUGCUGGAGAAGGAGCUAAGACUUUUACGUCUCAAUUGGCAGGCAGAAGGAGACUAUGUACUACCAUCCCCAUAGUGACACACUUCAACAAGGCCACACCUCCUAAUAGUGCUACUCCUUAUGGGCCAAGCAUUCAAACACAUGCGUAUAUGGGGCCAUUUCUGUUCAAACCACCACACUAGGCCUGUCCAACUUUGUUAUCUGACUUUCUGUUUUUUUGACCAAGUUUGUAUGUUUCUUUUUGUUGUUGCUGUUGCUCCCUUUUGAUUCUGACCCAUCAUCUCUCCAGACUCAGGACUGAGUUGUUUUCCCACUUUCCUGGGGACCUGCUCUGAACCCCCAGGUCACGGGUACCCUAGCUUCUUGUAUUCUGCAUGGCUUCUUCUGUUUUUUUUUUUUUUUUUUUUUUUUUAGGAAUGUUGUGAGACAAACUGUGGGGCCAGGGAGCAGAUUCAGUCCCUCAUAGUCUUACCUGGGCUCACCUCCUCUGACUUUUUUGCCAUUAUAGAUUCCAUGACCUAAAUAGUCCAGGCCAUAGGAAUUGGGUAGAAACUAGAUUUCCCUGGAUAGCCAUUAAAUUAAUUAAUCUUAGAGCAAUUUGACUAAGUUAUUCUGUAUUAGCCUUUUAAGAAUCAAAUUAAGAUUUUUAUUUAUAACACUGAAUCCAACAUAAGGGAUGAUCUUGUGUGGAGUCAGGUUAAUAAUGGUAAGUGAUACUAUUUUAAUAUGCCCCCCUACAUUCACAUGUUGGAACUUAAUCCCCCAAAUUUAUGUUAAUGAUCUUUGGAAGUGGGGCCUUUAGGAGGUAGCUGGAACUAAAUGAGUCAGGAGGGGAUGGGCUCCCACCUGUCUUUGAGCAGAGAGGCCCUGGAUAGCUGACUUGUCCUGCUUUUCUUUGUGAUUUCUAACAUGGAAGUAAUGUAGCAAGGAACCCUUUACCAGAUGCUGAUAUUGGCACAAAGAUAUCAGACUUUUUAGCUGCUAGACAGACUCAUGGGCAAAUAAGUUAUAUAAUCUUACCUUGGUGCCAUGCUUAUACAUGGAUAUAUUAUAAUCUUACCUAGUUGCUUCCUCACCUGCAAGAUAAGAAUGGCUAUAGUUUUUCUCCCAUAUUGUUAUGAUGCUGAGGAGAAAUCGAUCCACAGCAUUUCCGUAGAGUCCUUUGUGCUCAGGCUGAUGGUGUUCCCAACUCCUCCGUGGGAAAGAGCCUGUCAGUCCUUCCCAGUUUCCAACCCAAAUAUCCUUGAGUUCUCUUCCUCCAUACUGUUUGUUUACCCAGCACCUAGUCUGUAAAUCUGAGCCCUCUCCCUGCCUCUGUCACUGCCGCACUUCCACUGUCACCUCCUACAUGAGGUGUCACUGGAGCCUCUGUUGGUCUAUUCCCCUUGGGUCAGUCAGUGGUCAGUGUUUGCAACUCCCAGAGAGUAUCAGCGUCGUUGCUCUUCUGCCUCGGGUAUCACUGAAGCCAUUGUCUUCAUGGUGGCCUAAUGGUUCUGCUAAAGCCAGCGCUUCCUUUCUAGACCACAGUGGCCUUGUCAACUUGGCGCAGCACUUUUUGGUUUUGGGUUUGGGUUUGGUUUUGGUUUUGGUUUGGUUUGGUUUUGACUUUGGUGUUUUGAGACAGGGUUUCACUGUGUAGCCCUGGCUGUCCUAGAAUUCACUUUGUAGGCCCUAAAUGCAGAGAUCUGCCUGCCUCUGCCUCCCUCUGAGCUAGGAGUUUGGGUUUCUGGAUUCAUUCCACCAUCUUGCCUGUAGAGAUGUCCAAGUGCUAGGUGAGUGCCAAAUGUCCUCUAGAAAGCAUUGCUUGGAAUUUCUUUGCAAGUUUGGCCUUGGCCUUUCAUCCUUUGGACUAGCCUUUCCUUUGAAUGUUCCUCGCAGUAGCCCUGAGUGAAAGUCCAGGAGUUUUCCUGGUAUGCCUUCUGGUGUCUUGGAGAUUCAAAGGCUAUAUACUGAGUGGGGUAAGUUCUGUGUUGGUGACAAGAAAGGGAGGGGAAGGAGAGAGGUGGCAGAAGUCAGUCUCUGAUCUCUAGCAAUUUUAAGACCAAGCUCUGUUUGAAUGGAGCCGCCUCAGCAAACAUUUUAAAUGAAAAUGUGAAUGC